UACGGAGGGUGCAAGCGUUAUCCGGAUUCACUGGGUUUAAAGGGUGCGUAGGUGGGCAGGUAAGUCAGUGGUGAAAUCUCCGGGCUUAACCCGGAACUGCCGUUGAUACUAUCUGUCUUGAAUAUAGUGGAGGUGAGCGGAAUAUGUCAUGUAGCGGUGAAAUGCUUAGAUAUGACAUAGAACACCCAUUGCGAAGGCAGCUCGCUACACUAUCAUUGACACUGAGGCACGAAAGCGUGGGGAUCAAACAGG
rnacentral:rRNA from 1 species